rnacentral:rRNA from 1 species
GUGGGGAAUAUUGGGCAAUGGGGGCAACCCUGACCCAGCGACGCCGCGUGAGGGAAGAAGGCCUUAGGGUCGUAAACCUCUGUUGUGUGGGAAGAAGGAAGUGACGGUACCACACGAGGAAGUCCCGGCUAACUACGUGCCAGCAGCCGCGGUAAUACGUAGGGGACGAGCGUUGUCCGGAAUUACUGGGCGUAAAGGGCGCGUAGGCGGUCAUUUAAGUCAGCUGUGAAAUGGUCCGGCUCAACCGGAUCAUGCGGUUGAAACUGGAUGACUGGAGUGCUGGAGAGGCAAGUGGAAUUCCCAGGGUAGCGGUGAAAUGCGUAGAUAUUGGGAAGAACACCGGUGGCGAAGGCGACUUGCUGGCCAGCAACUGACGCUGAGGCGCGAAAGCCAGGGGAGCAAACGGGAUUAGAAACCCCUGUAGUCC